CCUACGGGGGGCUGCAGUGGGGAAUAUUGCACAAUGGGCGCAAGCCUGAUGCAGCCAUGCCGCGUGUGUGAAGAAGGCCUUCGGGUUGUAAAGCACUUUCAGCGGGGAGGAAGGCGGUGAGGUUAAUAACCUCAUCGAUUGACGUUACCCGCAGAAGAAGCACCGGCUAACUCCGUGCCAGCAGCCGCGGUAAUACGGAGGGUGCAAGCGUUAAUCGGAAUUACUGGGCGUAAAGCGCACGCAGGCGGUCCGUCAAGUCGGAUGUGAAAUCCCCGGGCUCAACCUGGGAACUGCGUUCGAAACUGGCAGGCUAGAGUCUUGUAGAGGGGGGUAGAAUUCCAGGUGUAGCGGUGAAAUGCGUAGAGAUCUGGAGGAAUACCGGUGGCGAAGGCGGCCCCCUGGACAAAGACUGACGCUCAGGUGCGAAAGCGUGGGGAACAAACAGGAUUAGAUACCCGUGUAGUC
rnacentral:rRNA from 1 species